rnacentral:rRNA from 1 species
GGCCGCGGUAUUCUGACCGUGCAAAGGUAGCGCAAUCACUUGUCUUUUAAAUGGAGACCUGUAUGAAUGGCAUAACGAGGGCUUAACUGUCUCCCUCCCCCAGUCAAUGAAAUUGAUCUUUCCGUGCAGAAGCGGGAAUAGACCCAUAAGACGAGAAGACCCUGUGGAGCUUUAGACAAUAAAUAGCCCCUGUAAAGAACCCUCACUAAAUGAGCUAAAACCUAUUUUGCUGUCUUUGGUUGGGGUGACCGCGGGGUAACAAAAAACCCCCAUGUGGAAUGAAUAACCUUCUUUAAACCAAGAGUACCUCCUCGAAGUAACAGAACAUCUGACCUAUCAUGACCCGGCUUUGCCGAUCAACGAAACCAGUUACCCCAGGGAUAACAGCGCAAUCCUCUCCCAGAGCCCAUAUCGACGAG